rnacentral:rRNA from 1 species
GGUGAACGCUGGCGGCGUGCCUAAGACAUGCAAGUCGAGCGGGCCGCGGGGUUUUACUCCGUGGUCAGCGGCGGACGGGUGAGUAACGCGUGGGUGACCUACCCGGAAGAGGGGGACAACCCGGGGAAACUCGGGCUAAUCCCCCAUGUGGACCCGCCCCUUGGGGUGUGUCCAAAGGGCUUUGCCCGCUUCCGGAUGGGCCCGCGUCCCAUCAGCUAGUUGGUGGGGUAAUGGCCCACCAAGGCGACGACGGGUAGCCGGCCUGAGAGGGUGGCCGGCCACAGGGGCACUGAGACACGGGCCACACUCCUACGGGAGGCAGGAGUGAGGAAUCUGCCGCAAUGGGCGCAAGCCUGGCGGAGCGACGCCGCUUGGAGGAAGAAGCCCUUCGGGGUGUAAACUCCUGAACCCGGGACGAAACCCCCGACGAGGGGACGGACGGUACCGGGGUAAUAGCGCCGGCCAACUCCGUG